rnacentral:lncRNA from 1 species
CAGUGCUGGCCCGUGGCCCUGUGACUUCAACAGGGGGAUGUUCUUUUCCCAAUGGAGUAUGAUGUGUGUAUCUGCUUCUUCCCCUUCUCUUCCAUAAGGAGACAGCUUCGGCUAGAAUAAGGCCUCCGUGGCAGGACUGUCUUCCCUACUCCAAGAAGGAGGUUCAGCUGGAAAGGCCAGCAGUGGAAUCCAGUGGCGAGCCUGGCAUUCUGUGCUGUGUGCUGCUCAUUCACCAGAGCCUUGUCUACAGCACCACUGACUCUGAACGGGGGCAGCAGCACACAGGUUCUCUCCAGUCUCAGAAACACAAGGGCCUGCCCCGAAGGUCAGGAGCAGCAUCCACACUUAGGGAGAGAGCACCUGUCAGCCAAGAAAUUGGGCCCAAAGAGAUUUGUCCAGAAGCAUUCAAUCAGCACCCCACACACAGACCUACAGCCCAGGUAUCCUGAGUUUCAGCCCUACAUCUACCAGACCCAUUCCGAAUCCUGGUUUCUUAACCCAGAAAGGAUGACUACAAAUGCAAACCCAGCACACAGUGCUAAAGAUGCCCAGUGGACCCGAGCUCUGUCUGCCUGCAGUUCCUCCAGGCUCAGCUCAGAGGUGUUAUCUUACCAGAUGCACGCUUUGGAGAUGGAAGACGAGGCAACUUAAAGUAGAGUGGUGGCUUCUUAUACAGGUCAAAAUCCAGGUGGCGCUGGCUCCAGCU